UAGGGAAUCUUCCGCAAUGGGCGAAAGCCUGACGGAGCAACGCCGUGUGAGUGAUGAAUGUCUUCGGAUCGUAAAACUCUGUUAUUAGGGAAGAACCAAUGUGUAAGUAACUAUGCACGUCUUGACGGUACCUAAUCAGAAAGCCACGGCUAACUACGUGCCAGCAGCCGCGGUAAUACGUAGGUGGCAAGCGUUAUCCGGAAUUAUUGGGCGUAAAGCGCGCGUAGGCGGUUUUUUAAGUCUGAUGUGAAAGCCCACGGCUCAACCGUGGAGGGUCAUUGGAAACUGGAAAACUUGAGUGCAGAAGAGGAAAGUGGAAUUCCAUGUGUAGCGGUGAAAUGCGCAGAGAUAUGGCGGGACACCAGUGGCGAAGGCGACUUUCUGAUCUGUAACUGACGCUGAUGUGCGGAAGCGUGGGGAUCAAACAGG
rnacentral:rRNA from 1 species